rnacentral:sRNA from 1 species
CCCAAGGAAGAAGACGAAGAAGAAGAAGAGGACGAAGUGAUUGAGUGGAA